rnacentral:rRNA from 1 species
AACUCUGACACAGGUGCUGCAUGGCUGUCGUCAGCUCGUGCGUGAGAUGUUGGGUUAAGUCCGUAACGAGCGCAACCCUUGUCCUUAGUUACCAGCACGUUAUGGUGGGCACUCUAAGGAGACUGCCGGUGACAAACCGGAGGAAGGUGGGGAUGACGUCAAGUCAUCAUGGCCCUUACGGCCUGGGCUACACACGUGCUACAAUGGUCGGUACAAAGGGUUGCCAAGCCGCGAGGUGGAGCUAAUCCCAUAAAACCGAUCGUAGUCCGGAUCGCAGUCUGCAACUCGACUGCGUGAAGUCGGAAUCGCUAGUAAUCGUGAAUCAGAAUGUCACGGUGAAUACGUUCCCGGGCCUU